rnacentral:rRNA from 1 species
UACGUAGGGCGCAAGCGUUGUCCGGAAUUAUUGGGCGUAAAGAGCUCGUAGGCGGCUUGUCACGUCGGGUGUGAAAACUCGGGGCUUAACCCCGGGCCUGCAGUGGGUACGGGCAGACUAGAGUGCGGUAGGGGAGACUGGAAUUCCUGGUGUAGCGGUGAAAUGCGCAGAUAUCAGGAGGAACACCGGUGGCGAAGGCGGGUCUCUGGGCCGUAACUGACGCUGAGGAGCGAAAGCGUGGGGAGCGAGCAGG